UGCCUCAGAGUUGAUUUUU
rnacentral:snRNA from 1 species